rnacentral:rRNA from 1 species
UACGUAGGGUGCAAGCGUUGUCCGGAAUUAUUGGGCGUAAAGAGCUCGUAGGCGGUUUGUUGCGUCGGCUGUGAAUCCCGAGGCUCAACCUCGGGUCUGCAGUCGAUACGAGCAAACUAGAGUGUUGCAGGGGAGACUGGAAUUCUGGUGUAGCGGUGAAAUGCGCAGAUAUCAGGAGGAACACCGGUGGCGAAGGCGGGUCUCUGGGCAGUAACUGACGCUGAGAGCGAAAGCGUGGGGAGCGAACAGGA